rnacentral:rRNA from 1 species
UACGGGGGGAGCAAGCGUUGUUCGGAUUUACUGGGCGUAAAGGGCGCGUAGGCGGCCAGCACAAGUCGGUUGUGAAAUCUCCGGGCUUAACUCGGAAAGGUCAACCGAUACUGUGCGGCUAGAGUGCGGAAGGGGCAACUGGAAUUCUCGGUGUAGCGGUGAAAUGCGUAGAUAUCGAGAGGAACACCUGCGGCGAAGGCGGUUGCCUGGAGCUUUGCUGACGCUGAUGCGCGAAAGCGUGGGGAGCAAACGGG